CCCUGGGCUGCGGUUCGCCCGGCGGCGCGUCUUCAUUCCCGCACCGGGGACAAGGAAGCGGGCAAGGACACGAGGCGGUCUUCCCUACUUGGCUGACUCAAAGGGCCACCUGGGACCUCGACGGCUCACCUUUGUAUAAGUCACUUCAUGAAGCCCAGCAGACCCAAGCCACCCAUCCCACCUGGCCCAGCCCUGACAGUGGCUGAGGUGGCUAGCAGAACACCCAAUCCUGGUCUCCAAGGAUGUGCCCAGAGGCUCUACCUGACAAAGAAUAGGGUACAAGUGAAGAAGAGGGGCACUGUGCUGUCAAAGGGCCUUUUGUUUCCCCAGGAAGAAUUGGCUCCAGGCUGGGCUGAAAGUUAUGGUGCAACCCAGCAAGAGUAUGGGGAAAAUUUGAUUCCAUUGAGACGUUAAAGCUGCAAAUGUCAUCUCCCCUCUUCCAGCUGCCUGGCAGAUGGACCCUGCCCACAGCCUUCCAUUUCCUGGCUCUUUGUGUAAGAGGCCCUGGGCCUCAUCUGGUCUUCCAUACCUUCUGAGGACAUUGCUUGCCAGCCCGAACUGGACCUCCCUAUCCAAACGCCCCACUCCCAUGCUCUCCCUGACUGCUUAACACGGAUGUGCAAGUAAGUGUGGGGCAACUGGAGUACAGGCAACUCCCCUCAUCAGGCUCACCAUCCAGAUUCCAGAGACUCAUAUUGUAUUUACUUCUCCUAAUCCAAUGGCUGUGGCUCCCACUAAAGUAGAGCAACCAUGGAGCGCUUCAAGGAUGCUCAGGAUACCCCCACAAACAUUUCUCACAUGCCUCAAGGUGUUGUGAGGUGUGUCUUUUGGUUUUUUAUUUUGUUUUUGUUUUUGAGACAGGGUUUCGCUAAGUUGCUAAACUGCCCAGACUGGACUCAAAUUUGGAAACAUCCUGCUUCUGUAUCUCAGAGUGCUGGGAUUACAGGCAUGUACCACCAGGCCUGGCUACCAGGCAGGUCAUGGAUGACACUUCUACACUAACUUUGCAUUCUCCCUAGGCCUCUGACUCCCACUCUCUCAAGGCAGACCUGACAUUUCAGCUGCAUUUUGUGUAGUCUAUAUUUUAGCCCACCAACCAACUGAACUGUUAGAGCUGUUUCUAACCCUGGAGCUGCAACAUUGAAUCCACAAUCUCACUUAGUGGCCACAUAUCAAUAAAGUCAGCCUGAGCCAACUUUAUGUUGCUUCCCCUACCAUCUCACACCAAUAUCCAUUUCCACUCAUAUCCCCCAGACUUCUGUCCAUAUAAAUUGGAAAAAUCAUGUAGUUCUUUUUUUUCUUUUGGCACCGGGGAUUAAACUUGGGUCCUUGCGCUUACAGGGCAAGCAGAAGAACCACUGAGCUAAAUCCCCGGCCCCCAUGUAGUUUUUUGGGGGGGUUUUUUGGUACUGGGGAUCGAACUUGGGUCCUUGCGCUUGCGCAGCAGGCAGCGAAACAACUGAGCUAAAUCCCCGGCCCCCCAUGUAGUUCUUAUAGAUUAUAGCACAUCUCCUCCUGGGUCACUUUGUAUCUCACUUUUUUUUUUUUGGUACCGGGAAUUGAACUCGAGACCUUGUGCUUGCGAGGCAGGCAGCGGCACCACUGAGCUAAAUCCCCGGCCUGUAUCCCACUCUUCAGGCCCUGAGGCAGGGUGAGUUUGCUAAGGUCUCAAGGGCAUUGUAUAUGCUGUGUCCACUGCAUGGAAAGCUCCUCUCCUCAAUUUCUCACCUGUCACAAUGAGCUGAGAUAACCCCUCCCUCUGUGGAACCUUCCACCCUGACUACUGCAGGGCAAGAACAAUUCCCUAGUUGUCCCCUCCACAUGUUCUAGCACCAUUACUCUUCUAGUUGCUCACUGCCCUUAUCAUCAUCUGAUAUUAACUCACUAUGUCAUGGGCCGAGAAUUUAGCUCAGUGGUUCCACCGCCUGCCUUGCAAGCUAAGGACCCGAGUUCGAUCCCCGGUACCAACAAAAAAAAAAAACUAUGUCUGUAUCCUCAGCACCAAGCCCACAACUGGGCAGCAAAUAUUUUCAAAGCAAAUUUAAAAACUGUGUAAAGGCCUGACAUUCAUGUCCUCACAUCCCUGAUGUUAAUUAAUAAAGGUAGCAGGCUAGG